rnacentral:rRNA from 1 species
AGUGAACGCUGGCGGUAGGCCUAACACAUGCAAGUCGAACGGCAGCACAGUAAGAGCUUGCUCUUACGGGUGGCGAGUGGCGGACGGGUGAGGAAUACAUCGGAAUCUACUUUUUCGUGGGGGAUAACGUAGGGAAACUUACGCUAAUACCGCAUACGACCUACGGGUGAAAGCAGGGGAUCUUCGGACCUUGCGCGAUUGAAUGAGCCGAUGUCGGAUUAGCUAGUUGGCGGGGUAAAGGCCCACCAAGGCGACGAUCCGUAGCUGGUCUGAGAGGAUGAUCAGCCACACUGGAACUGAGACACGGUCCAGACUCCUACGGGAGGCAGCAGUGGGGAAUAUUGGACAAUGGGCGCAAGCCUGAUCCAACCAUACCGCGUGGGUGAAGAAGGCCUUCGGGUUGUAAAGCCCUUUUGUUGGGAAAGAAAAGCAGCAGGUUAAUACCCCGCUGUUCUGACGGUACCCAAAGAAUAAGCACCGGCUAACUUCG